CCCUGGCAGGGGUGAUGAAUCAAUUAGAUGUGCGAAGUUACCUUAAUGAGCUUAACUUUUGAGGCAUAUAAUUUGUCUGACCUGCCAAGG